AGCUUCCCUCACCGGUUUCUUUCUUUGACCCCUUUCGCGACUCUCUUCUGUGGCGUGAGUAGCAAUUGUGGGGAGUUUGAAGAUCUGCUUACUGUCGAAUUGAAUCAAGCGGAUGCAGGAAGUGUGAAAGCUUCAAUUGAUUGCCAGAUUUUGUGACGAACAGCACCAACAACUAACGCUUGCAGCACUGACGUGAGAGUUGCACAUGCUGGCCUGCAAACUGCACCACACUAGGAAUUGUUUUGGAAGACUGGAUUGCGCGACGCAUAGCAGAUCCCGUGCACGACCUCCAUCCAAAAAUGAUUUAAAAAGUUAUGCUCAAUAGAGUACUGCACUAUUAUUAGUCUGAAUAAAUUUAGUUGCUUCA